rnacentral:rRNA from 1 species
GACGAACGCUGGCGGCGUGCUUAACACAUGCAAGUCGAACGGAAAGGCCCUGCUUUUGUGGGGUGCUCGAGUGGCGAACGGGUGAGUAACACGUGAGUAACCUGCCCUUGACUUUGGGAUAACUUCAGGAAACUGGGGCUAAUACCGGAUAGGAGCUCCUGCUGCAUGGUGGGGGUUGGAAAGUUUCGGCGGUUGGGGAUGGACUCGCGGCUUAUCAGCUUGUUGGUGGGGUAGUGGCUUACCAAGGCUUUGACGGGUAGCCGGCCUGAGAGGGUGACCGGCCACAUUGGGACUGAGAUACGGCCCAGACUCCUCCGGUAGGCAGCAGUGGGGAAUAUUGCACAAUGGGCGGAAGCCUGAUGCAGCAACGCCGCGUGCGGGAUGACGGCCUUCGGGUUGUAAACCGCUUUCGCCUGUGACGAAGCGUGAGUGACGGUAAUGGGUAAAGAAGCACCGGCUAACUACGUG